CUGCAUCAUGGAGGAGAAAGUGAUUGUUGCCGUUUGCGAUUCCCGGAACUUUUUUUUUAUAUGAUAGUAUAUCAUUUAAUAUAGUUGUAUAAUAAUAUCACGGCCAAAAGCUCUGUGCGCCCCCGGAUGGCCGUAGCGCGGGAAGCUCUUGUAGGGAUUGGGCUUCUCGGGGUUUGUUUACCGGCGUAUGAAUAGACUGCGUCAGGUUCUCCGACGUCUCUCCCUCUUCCACAAAAGCAUGACAGAAGCCUGCUGGAGAGUGCCUGGGUUUCUUCCUCCAAGAGACCAACUGCGUUGGAGAGUUCCAUGAGGGAGGAAACGGUUUUGGUCCUGGAAAGUUCCUCAAUUAGACCCCUGGGCUCCGAGUUCCGGUGCACUGGUGGAAUCAUCCAGUAGAAGACAAAGAUAGCCAGUUCUCCAGCCAUUCAGCUGCAGGAACCAAAAAGAGAGCUCUGAGAUCAGGUGUUGAGAUGAUGGAGAGAGGGGGAUGCAACCACCACACCACUCUCCAUUGUUGACCAUCUGUCUGACAGAAGAGCUAGCGUCUAGAAGUGUCUGUGAGGUGAGGAAGAAACAAUGAGAGCCUGAGAGGAACAGUGAGAGCCUGUGGGGGCAGUGUUAAGAAGUUAGGAAAGAAGAAUAGGAGGGGACAAAAGAGUAAGAGAAUUGGGACGUUUUGGGCCUGAAGCAAAUAAAACAG
ensembl:lncRNA